rnacentral:rRNA from 1 species
UACAAAGGGGGCUAGCGUUGCUCGGAAUCACUGGGCGUAAAGGGUGCGUAGGCGGGUCUUUUAAGUCAGGGGUGAAAUCCUGGAGCUCAACUCCAGAACUGCCUUUGAUACUGAAGAUCUUGAGUUCGGGAGAGGUGAGUGGAACUGCGAGUGUAGAGGUGAAAUUCGUAGAUAUUCGCAAGAACACCAGUGGCGAAGGCGGCUCACUGGCCCGAUACUGACGCUGAGGCACGAAAGCGUGGGGAGCAAACAGGG